GUCUGGGUAGUGUAGUUGGUUAUCACGCUAGUCUCACACACUAGAGGUCUCCGGUAAAAACCCGGGCUCAGACA